GUGCCAGCCGCCGCGGUAAUACGUAGGCAGCGAGCGUUGUUCGGAAUUACUGGGCGUAAAGAGUGUGUAGGCGGUGUUCCCAGUCUGUUGUGAAAUCUCCCGGCUUAACUGGGAGGGUGCAGCGGAAACUAGAAUGCUAGAGGGUGGGAGAGGUAAGCGGAAUUCCUGGUGUAGCGGUGAAAUUCGUAGAUAUUGAGAAGAACACCGGUGGCGAAGGCGGCUCACUGGCUCAUUACUGACGCUCAGGCGCGACAGCGUGGGGAUCAAACAGGAUUAGAUACCCUGGUAGUCCACGCCGUAAACUAUGAACGCUAGCCGUUGGGCAGCUUGCUGCUCAGUGGCGCAGCUAACGCAUUAAGCGUUCCGCCUGGGGAGUACGGCCGCAAGGUUGAA
rnacentral:rRNA from 1 species